GACCUCGGAUCAGGAGGGAUACCCGCUGAACUUAA
rnacentral:rRNA from 1 species